AGCCAUUGCCUUUGGGGGGGGGGCUACCAGGGAUUGAACCCAGGGGGUGCUUAACCACUGAACCACAUGUUUGCCCUUUUUUAUUUUAUUUAGAGACAGGGUCUUGCUGACGUUGGUUCUCACUGGGUUGCUGAGGCUAGUUUUGAACUCAUUAUCCCCUUGCCUCAACCUCCUGAGUCGCUGGGAUUAUAGAAAUGCACCAGUCUGUUCAGUUUAUGGCCUCUUGUUUCUGUCAAAAGAGUUUCUUCUACAUGUUUUUAUUGUCUAUACUUUGCCCCAGUUUCAACAUACAGAUUUGUGCCUACUUAAGGCAUGUCUCAAUAUUUGCUAAGCAAACCCUGAACACUUCAUGAUAAUGCCAGGCAUAAGACUUUCAGAAAAGGGUUGUAAUGAGAUGUAGCAGCUGGUUUUAUUUAUUUGGGUGAUUUCUCAAGAAUUUUCCACUAACUUCUACCCUAUUGAUUCAUUCUAAUUCAUAGAUGGCUGAGAUUGGAACAGCUCUAUUGAUAAAACAUGGAAUGAAUUAUUUUCUAUACAUGGGUUCUGUGCUAGGUGUUUUGUGUGUUUUCAUUUAAACCCCAGCAAACAUUUUUCUGUUAAUUUUCCUUCCCUGGCUGGGUUAUUCUCUUUACCACUGCCAGUUCUCUUGGAGAAGUCAUACCUACUUUGGUCCCUUUUUCUCUGAAGAGAGACCCAUUGCUGAUGUGUGCUUAUAUCUUAACCAUUAUACCCCUUGGUCUGAUGGGUGGGGUUGGAAAGUUUCAAAAGAUGGGAACUGAUGGUAUUCAUUGAACCACAUACUUUACUGAAUGAUACUUUGAAAGUUAGUAUUUACAUGUCAAGUAGAAAAGUCUGUUUAGAUGGAGAUAGUCAGUGAAGGUUUUUUAAGUGACAUGUCAUAGUAGAGUAGACUGGGGCAUAAUUUGUUUUCUUGAUUGAAUUCUGUGGCCCAGAAUUCAAUAGGGAUAGGUCUAGGAUUUCAAAUUCCUAGACUCAAGUGUGACGGACUAUAAGUGCACACCAUGCAGUUUAUGUUUUUGCCUUAUGAAACAAGCCGAUCUGGUUAAAAAUUUUA
rnacentral:lncRNA from 1 species